AGGGGUCAGCUCUCCAACACCUACACCAUCAGAGCCAGCUCUGUAUUGCCCUGGCAAGGUGCAGGGGCCACUCUCCUGAGCGCUGUAGCUGGUGAAGGGGCCAGGACAGCUCUCCUACCCCUCACAGGUGGUCAGAGGUGGGGAUGGGGGGCAUCUCUUCAACUGCCCACCCCACAAUAUGGCAGAGGAGGAGCAGAGCCAGAUCUCCCAUACUCACGUUCUCCGACUGGUUCACCUGCAUCCCUGUCAAUAGGAUCAGAUCUACUGUGCUGCCCAGGUUAGGUGCAGGGCCCACCUUCCUGAGUGCUGCAGCUGGUAAGGGGGAGGGUCAGCUCCCUCACCCAUCAUAGGUGACAGGCCAGGGUGGGGGAGGGCAUUUCCCUUGCUCCCUCCACCACAUGGCACACAGGAGGCAGGGAGUGGCCAGUGCUCUUAACUGCGGAGCCCUCUGCAGCCCCAUCUCUCACAUUUUUUUUUUUUUGACAGUGAAGGAAAAUUAAAUUCCCUUAGAGACUGAAACCAUUCUCAUAUCGCUCAUACCAAGGUUCCUUUGGUGCCUGGCAAGGACAAGGGCUACAGAAGCUUCCCAGUAACUACUUGUGUCGAUGAAAAAGUAGUGAAUGAAGACACUGGACCUCCUGAACCUCAUCUCUCUCAUUGACACAGAUGGGUUUUAAAUUCUAAGAGAUGAUCUGAAGAGCAGAGCUGAGAAAGAAAGGGACACAGAUCUUACAAAGGAGUAAGGUAUAUCAUCUGAAAAUGAAAAUUAUAAUUCUUCUUGGACUCAUAGGAGCUACAUCUUCAGCCCCGCUUGUCUCACAGCGCCUAUUGUCUGCUAGCAACAGUCAUGAGUUACUCCUGAAUCUGAAUAAUGGUCAACUUUUGCCACUGCAAUUUCAGAGUGCAUUUAACUCCUGGAUUCCUUCCUUCCCUGGGUUUCUGCAGCAGCAGCAGCAGCAGCAGCAGCAGCAGGCUCAGGUCCCAGGACGCCCACAGUUCCCACUCUCAACACUAGAGAGCUUGGCUGGGCUAUUCCCAAAUCAACUACCUUUCUCAGGACAGGUUGGACUUGCCCCAGGAGGCCAGGCUGGCCAGCCAGAACUCUUACAGCUGCAGACACCACCUCAGCCCCAACAGGGUGUAAACCUUAUGUCCUACGUGGUUCCCUUUAAAGUGCCUCAAGAUCAAACACAGAUGCUUGGAUACUACCCAGUUUACAUGCUUCUGCCCUGGGAGCAACCUCAACAAGCGGUCACAGCAUCUCCCCAGCAAACAGGGCCGCAGCUAUUUGAGGAACAGAUACCAUUCUAUAAUCAAUUUGGAUACAUACCACAACAAGCAGAACCUGAUGUGCAAGGAGGACAGCAGCAUUUAGCUUUUGAGUCCUUUGUAGGCACAGCUCCUGAAACUCCUGGAAUGCCAACAGAAGGAGGGCCUCUGUAUUCACAAAGAGAACCAGUCAACUUUAAGCGUGACAAUGCAGGAGUUUUCAUGCCUUCCACUUCACCAAAACCGAGCACCGACCAUGUUUUCACUUCUGCCCUAGACCCAACUAUUGCUCCAAUUCUUCCAGAACAGAAGGCCAAGACUGAUCACCUAAGAGAACCAUAAGACAUUGUCUUAAUCACUUGGAAGUUUUGAUUUUGAUAGUUGAUGAGUCAGCAGAGUAAUAACUGAUCCCAGGGAGUGGCUUUCCAGCCAUGGACUUCUCCAACCAUUGCACUGUGAGGGUAUAAAAGAGACACAACAUUGGAGGGCCAGUCACCAUCACUUCCCAUAGCAGCACCAGAGAGAAGGAACUGAGCAGAGAGUUUAAGGAUAUUCUGAACAAGAUGAAAGCCCUCCUCCUGCUCUCUGUCAUCCUGGCAGUAGCAUCUUGUCUCCCAGUGCCCCAGGAACAGGAACGAGAAAAACGAAGUGCCAGUGACAGCGAUGAAUUCUUUCCACGGAUUAUUAUUCCCCCAUUCUGGUAUCCAUUCGACAGAUACCCACCAUUCCCAAAUCAAAACUAUCCAUGGCAAUUUUUUCCUGUUCCCAUUCCCUACUCUCCCACUGCAACCCCACCUCUUAAUGGAAAGUAAAAGGGAAA